rnacentral:rRNA from 1 species
AUUCCUACGGGACGCAGCAGUAGGGAAUUUUCGUCAAUGGGCGCAAGCCUGAACGAGCGAUGCCGCGUGAGUGAAGAAGGCCUUCGGGUCGUAAAGCUCUGUUGCGGGGGAAAAAAGGCAGCAUCAGGAAAUGGGUGCUGACUGAUGGUGCCCCGCCAGAAAGUCACGGCUAACUACGUGCCAGCAGCCGCGGUAAUACGUAGGAUGCGAGCGUUAUCCGGAUUUAUUGGGUUUAAAGGGUGCGCAGGCGGCCUGUUAAGUCAGCGGUAAAAGCCCGGGGCUCAACCCCGGCGAGCCGUUGAAAC